rnacentral:lncRNA from 1 species
CACAGAUGUGUGAAUAGAAAAAAAAUAUUAGAAGAUGUGGUAUGAUUGCCAAUGAAACAACUCUCCACAAGAGACCAGAAUGACACAGAAAUUAACAACUAUAGGUCACUGUACGGCUAUCAACAACGAGCAAAGCCCAUUCCGCAUAGGCCUCGAAAUGACAAUGUAAAACAACUCAAACGAGAAAACUAACGGCUUUAUAUAUGUUAAAAAAA